rnacentral:rRNA from 1 species
UGGGGAAUUUUGCACAAUGGGGGAAACCCUGAUGCAGCGACGCCGCGUGAUUUAGAAGGCCUUCGGGUUGUAAAAAUCUUUUCUAUGGGAAGAAAAUGACAGUACCAUAGGAAUAAGGACCGGCUAAUUACGUGCCAGCAGCCGCGGUAAUACGUAAGGUCCGAGCGUUGUCCGGAAUCAUUGGGCGUAAAGGGUACGUAGGCGGGUAAGCAAGUUAGAAGUGAAAUCCUAUAGCUCAACUAUAGUAAGCUUUUAAAACUGCUCAUCUUGAGGUAUGGAAGGGAAAGUGGAAUUCCUAGUGUAGCGGUGAAAUGCGCAGAUAUUAGGAGGAAUACCGGUGUCGAAGGCGACUUUCUGGCCAUAACCUGACGCUGAGGUACGAAAGCGUGGGUAGCAAACAGG